GACGAACGCUGGCGGCGUGCUUAACACAUGCAAGUCGAACGAUGAAGAAGAGCUUGCUCUUCGGAUUAGUGGCGAACGGGUGAGUAACACGUGACUAACCUGCCCCUUUCUCUGGGAUAACGCUCCGAAAGGAGUGCUAAUACCGGAUACUCACAUCGAGGCACAUGCCUUGAUGUGGAAAGUUUUUCGGAAAGGGAUGGAGUCGCGGCCUAUCAGCUUGUUGGUGAGGUAACGGCUCACUAAGGCGACGACGGGUAGCCGGCCUGAGAGGGCGACCGGCCACACUGGGACUGAGACACGGCCCAGACUCCUACGGGAGGCAGCAGUGGGGAAUAUUGCACAAUGGGCGAAAGCCUGAUGCAGCGACGCCGCGUGAGGGAUGAAGGUCUUCGGAUUGUAUACCUCUUUCAGUAGGGACGAAGCGAAAGUGACGGUACCUAAAGAAGAAGCACCGGCUAACUACGUGCCAGCAGCCGCGGUAA
rnacentral:rRNA from 1 species